rnacentral:rRNA from 1 species
CGAAAACGAAUUCUCUCUUGAGUGGAUCCUGAGUACGACGGAGCACGUGAAAUUCCGUCGGAAUCUGGGAGGACCAUCUCCUAAGGCUAAAUACUCUCUAGUGACCGAUAGUGAACCAGUACCGUGAGGGAAAGGUGAAAAGUACCCCGGAAGGGGAGUGAAAGAGAACUUGAAACCGUGUGCUUACAAGUAGUCAGAGCCCGUUAAUGGGUGAUGGCGUGCCUUUUGUAGAAUGAACCGGCGAGUUACGAUCUGAUGCAAGGUUAAGCAGAAAAUGUGGAGCCGUAGCGAAAGCGAGUCUGAAUAGGGCGAAUGAGUAUUUGGUCGUAGACCCGAAACCAGGUGAUCUACCCUUGGUCAGGUUGAAGUUCAGGUAACACUGAAUGGAGGACCGAACCGACUUACGUUGAAAAGUGAGCGGAUGAACUGAGGGUAGCGGAGAAAUUCCAAUCGAACUUGGAGAUAGCUGGUUCUCUCCGAAAUAGCUUUAGGGCUAGCCUCAAGUGAUGAUUAUUGGAGGUAGAGCACUGUUUGGACGAGGGGCCCCUCUCGGGUUACCGAAUUCAGACAAACUCCGAAUGCCAAAUAAUUUAACUUGGGAGUCAGAAUGUGGGUGAUAAGGUCCAUAUUCGAAAGGGAAACAGCCCAGACCACCAGCUAAGGUCCCAAAAUAUAUGUUAAGUGGAAAAGGAUGUGGCGUUGCCCAGACAACUAGGAUGUUGGCUUAGAAGCAGCCAUCAUUUAAAGAGUGCGUAAUAGCUCACUAGUCGAGUGACACUGCGCCGAAAAUGUACCGGGGCUAAACAUAUUACCGAAGCUGUGGAUUGUCCUUUGGACAAUGGUAGGAGAGCGUUCUAAGGGCGUUGAAGCAUGAUCGCAAGGACAUGUGGAGCGCUUAGAAGUGAGAAUGCCGGUGUGAGUAGCGAAAGACGGGUGAGAAUCCCGUCCACCGAUUGACUAAGGUUUCCAGAGGAAGGCUCGUCCGCUCUGGGUUAGUCGGGUCCUAAGCUGAGGCCGACAGGCGUAGGCGAUGGAUAACAGGUUGAUAUUCCUGUACCACCAUUAUUCGUUUUAAGCGAUGGGGGGACGCAGUAGGAUAGGCGAAGCGUGCUGUUGGAGUGCACGUCCAAGCAGUGAGAUUGAGUGUUAGGCAAAUCCGGCACUCUUAAGAUUGAGCUGUGAUGGGGAGAGGAACUUGUUCCUCGAGUCGUUGAUUUCACACUGCCGAGAAAAGCCUCUAGCUAGAAUAACGGUGCCCGUACCGCAAACCGACACAGGUAGUCAAGAUGAGAAUUCUAAGGUGAGCGAGCGAACUCUCGUUAAGGAACUCGGCAAAAUGACCCCGUAACUUCGGGAGAAGGGGUGCUCUUUGAGGUUCACGCUUCGAAGAGCCGCAGUGAAUAGGCCCAAGCGACUGUUUAUCAAAAACACAGGUCUCUGCUAAACCGUAAGGUGACGUAUAGGGGCUGACGCCUGCCCGGUGCUGGAAGGUUAAGAGGAGUGGUUAGCGCAAGCGAAGCUACGAAUCGAAGCCCCAGUAAACGGCGGCCGUAACUAUAACGGUCCUAAGGUAGCGAAAUUCCUUGUCGGGUAAGUUCCGACCCGCACGAAAGGCGUAACGAUUUGGGCACUGUCUCAACGAGAGACUCGGUGAAAUCAUAGUACC